UACGUAGGGUCCGAGCGUUGUCCGGAGUUACUGGGCGUAAAGCGCGCGCAGGCGGCGGUGUUGGCCCGGCGUGAAAGCCCCCGGCUCAACCGGGGAGAGUCGUCGGGGACCGCACCGCUUGAGGGCGGUAGGGGCUGGUGGAAUGCCUGGUGUAGCGGUGAAAUGCGUAGAUAUCGAGAGGAACACCUGCGGCGAAGGCGAGUUGCUGGGCUGAUACUGACGCUGAGGCGCGAAAGCCAGGGGAGCGAACGGG
rnacentral:rRNA from 1 species